GACGUAGGGCGCGAGCGUUGUCCGGAUUUUAUUUGGGCGUAAAGAGCUCGUAGGCGGCUUUGUCGCGUCGUCUGUGAAAUCCCGCGGCUCAACCGCGGGUCUGCAGUCGAUACGGGCAGGCUAGAGUUCGGUAGGGGAGACUGGAAUUCCUGGUGUAGCGGUGAAAUGCGCAGAUAUCAGGAGGAACACCGGUGGCGAAGGCGGGUCUCUGGGCCGAUACUGACGCUGAGGAGCGAAAAGCGUGGGGGAGCGAACAGG
rnacentral:rRNA from 1 species